GAGUUUUCCUGGGUUUUUUAUAUAUUUUCUUAGACAUGCAAAUAGUAAUUCUUGCUGAUCAUGUUCAUUGAUACAUUGAAACUGAUUAGAUAUUAGAUUAUUGAAAAAUAAUUGUAAGAGGCAAAAAACAUUUUUUUAAACCACUUUCAUUCCAGUAAAAAUACACCACUGGCAUUGCGUAAAUCAAAACUGUGGAAAAGCAAACCGGAAAUUUAUUUGAGUGUCUUCGAAUUUUGCACUGGCAGGAGGUUAAGGAUGCAGUCAAGUGCAAAAGACCAACCGGCCAGGUCUAUUUCGGCCACCCAAGCACCACUGGGUCAGCAGUUGUUGUAUCUGGAAACUUCCGGUUCGUCACUCCUAUUUAACGCUGUGGUUCAGAGCUUCGAGUGGAGGAGGAUGUAGAAACAAUGUGCAGUCAUUGAGCGCAAAUGUGCCAAAUAAUGACUUGCAGGCGAGCGAGUGCAAUUUAUAUGAUAAGCAACAAAAAUAAAUGGCAAGCAAUUCAUUUUA